AAAGAUUACAUUCGGCUUUUCAUAACGUCGAGUUUACCUAUGUACAAAUAUUAUGUUGCAUAUGUACAAAGGCAAGUGUCUUCGGGUAAUUUGAAUUUCCCAAAGGAAAUAACAUACGCCAAGUUUCGUCUCGCUAUCAUUGCCAUGAUACGGUUGCUUGAUAUUGAUUUUCACAAUGGGUUUUUUUGUGAAUUAUGUGGAAGAAUUCCCCAGAAGGUGGUGAUGGAUGGAACAACUCUUGGAAUACAGAAAACUUUCUUACCAAAUAAUUUAAGAGAGUCUGAUACUGGAUUGCUAGAUGGAAGAUAAGUAUUUUUGAAGUUUAUCUGUAAUAUAUAAUAUAUACAGGUCUGCUAAUUAGUAAAUACGAGUGUUCAUCUACGUAUCAGAAAGCAUUUUGUGCAUGAUGGUGACUUCUCUCACUUUGUUUUUGUACACACCUUAUAGUUAUAAAAAUAACAACCUGUUUUCUUAACAGGUUUGUUCUCAUAAC